GUGGGGAAUCUUAGACAAUGGGGGAAACCCUGAUCUAGCCAUGCCGCGUGAUCGAUGAAGGCCUUAGGGUUGUAAAGAUCUUUCGCUGGGGAAGAUAAUGACUGUACCCAGUAAAGAAGCCCCGGCUAACUCCGUGCCAGCAGCCGCGGUAAUACGGAGGGGGCUAGCGUUAUUCGGAAUUACUGGGCGUAAAGCGCACGUAGGCGGACCAGAAAGUUGGGGGUGAAAUCCCGGGGCUCAACCUCGGAACUGCCUUCAAAACUCCUGGUCUUGAGUUCGAGAGAGGUGAGUGGAAUUCCGAGUGUAGAGGUGAAAUUCGUAGAUAUUCGGAGGAACACCAGUGGCGAAGGCGGCUCACUGGCUCGAUACUGACGCUGAGGUGCGAAAGCGUGGGGAGCAAACAGGAUUAGAUACCCCAGUAGUCC
rnacentral:rRNA from 1 species